rnacentral:lncRNA from 1 species
UCCAGGAAUUGCAAAAAGAAUUAGCAGCAAUUCAACUGAAAAGUCAAAACAUGCAAGUGAUGAAAGCUGCUGAAUUAAGAAACUCUAUUAUUAAUAAGAGUUUUGAUUUGAGAUCUAAAAAGCUUGAAGAACUGGAUUUUCAAAAUCAGCUUAAAUUAUUAGAAAUGGAAUCAGCAAUUAAAAACCAAAUCCAAAAAGAGGAAGAUGCUUUACUUGUAGAAGAUGUGUUACAUAAUGAUUAUACAGCAACACAAGUUCCAAUCGACU